AGAACGAACGCUGGCGGCAUGCCUAAUACAUGCAAGUCGAACGAACACUUCGGUGUUAGUGGCGCACGGGUGCGUAACGCGUGGGAAUCUGCCCUUGGGUUCGGAAUAACAGUUGGAAACGACUGCUAAUACCGGAUGAUGACGAAAGUCCAAAGAUUUAUCGCCCAGGGAUGAGCCCGCGUAGGAUUAGCUAGUUGGUGAGGUAAAGGCUCACCAAGGCGACGAUCCUUAGCUGGUCUGAGAGGAUGAUCAGCCACACUGGGACUGAGACACGGCCCAGACUCCUACGGGAGCAGCAGUAGGGAAUAUUGGACAAUGGGCGCAAGCCUGACUCCAGCAA
rnacentral:rRNA from 1 species